rnacentral:rRNA from 1 species
AUUGAACGCUGGCGGCAGGCUUAACACAUGCCAGUCGAGCGAGCGGCGGACGGGUGAGUAAUGUCUGGGAAACUGCCUGAUGGAGGGGGAUAACUACUGUAAACGGUAGCUAAUACCGCAUACCAUCAACUUUGCCCAGAUGGGAUUAGCUGGUAGGUGGGGUAAUGGCUCACCUAGGCGACGAUCCCUAUCUGGUCUGACAGUAUGACCAGACACACUGGAACUGAGACACGGUCCAGACUCCUACGGGAGGCAGCAGUGGGGAAUAUUGCACAAUGGGCGCAAGCCUGAUGCAGCCAUGCCGCUUGUGUGAAGAAGGCCUUCGGGUUGUAAAGCACUUUCAGCGAGGAGGCGUUACUCGCAGAAGAAGCACCGGCUAACUCCGUGCCAGCAGCCGCGGUAAUAC